CGGGGCGUGGCGCAGCCUGGUAGCGCACCUGCUUUGGGAGCAGGGGGCCGCAGGUUCAAAUCCUGCCGCCCCGA
rnacentral:tRNA from 1 species